GAACAAACAUUAGUUCUAAGACAUAGAAGACUCGCCUUCCAUGAAGUUCCCUUUGUCCUCCCCUUUCACGUCUGUUGCCUUGUGGUCAAAGGUGCUGACUCAAAGAUGCAUUUCGUGUAGCACCGGCCAAAUGUCGAUCUCACUAUUAUGUAAGAUUACUUUUUUUUUUAUAAAUGUGAACGUGGCAUAAUAAGCUAUUGUAGAGAGGUUGCCAACUAAUGUUUACUUGGCAUUUUACUCAACCGAGUGACUGACGUGUUACUACCAAAUUUGUACAAGUUUUAACGGUGGGUGAGUGAGUGGGUUUGAAGUGAUUUAUCAUUUACGGAGUGUCGGUGUGCUGAUGAUCGGCUCCUCUCCUCAGGCGAACAUUCCGGUUUGUUGUUUAUUGGGUGAAGGCUACGUACAUUAAAUUUAUUGCAGAAAAUGGCAAAACAUUCUGCUGAUGAUGACGAUGAUGUAAAUUGGAAUACAGAUGAUGAAAUUGAUAACUUCCAAUCGUCCCCUAGAAACAUACUUCAUAUGGAUGAGACGGUUGCUAAGUUUAUUGAGAUGGGAUUCUCGAUGGAAAUGAUCGGUAGAGCGAUUGAAGAAACCGGCGGAGAAAAUCCAGAACCUAUGAUGAUUCUUGAAACUCUCUUCAAGCUUUCUACAAGCUCUGAAGCUAGCUCAUCUAAAUCUAAGGUCAUAGACGAGCUCAUUGGUAUGGGUUUCUCCGAGGAAUUAGUGAUCAAAGCUAUACAAGAACAUGGAGAAAAAAAUCUUGAGGAGAUAACAAAUGCACUUCUGAGUUAUGCAGAGGCAGAGAAAAUGCAUGAAACAGAAAAUGAGGACAUCAACAAUAACUACUUAUCAGAUGAUAAUGAUGACACCAAUCUUUACUCAGGUCUAUCAUCCUCAGAUGAAGAGAAUGAGUUAAACUCUUUUCAUGGAGAUGGUAGAUUGCAAGAUUUGAUCAAAAUGGGCUAUCCAAGGAAAGAGGCUUCUAUAGCUCUAGAGAGAUGUGGAGAAAUUGCAAGUUUGGCAGAGGUUGUUGACUUCAUUUUUGCUGCUCAAAUGGCACGGCAACUAGAUGAGUUUUGGGCAGCUCCUGAUGAACAAGAGCAGCUAAGAAUUAAUGAGCCACCACCAAGAAGGAGAAGGCUGAACACUGAUAUUGCCAGUGAUGACGAGCUCAUCCGUCUACCAAAUCCAAUGAUUGGAUUUGGUGUACCUAAGGAACCUGGAAUUAUAACUGAGAGGCCAGUCCCAAUCCCUAGUAUUGCUCGUGGUCCGCCCUAUUUUUACUACGAGAAUGUUGCAAUGACACCCAAAGGUGUUUGGGCCAAGAUGUCUAGUCAUCUGUAUGACAUCAAACCCGAAUUUGUGGACUCCUUGUACUUUUGUGCUGCUGCGAGGAAGAGAGGUUACAUUCACAACCUUCCAAUCAAGAACAGAUUUGAGAUACAACCCACACCACAUUAUACCAUACAAGAAGAGUUUCCUUUGACCAAGAAAUGGUGGCCUGCUUGGGAUAAAAGAACGAAGUUGAACUGUGUGUUGACUUGCAUCGCCAGUGCUCAGCUCACAAACAAAAUACGCAAGCGUCUUGAAAAACAUGAAAGGGAUCCAGCUGUGCAGAAAGAUGUAGUAGAUCAAUGCAAAAAAUGGAACCUGGUUUGGGUUGGUAAGAACAAAGCUGCCCCUCUGGAACCAUACGAGAUGGAAAGGCUUCUAGGUUUCCCAAAUAAUCAUACUCGUGGUAUAAGCAGAAAGGAUCGCUACAAGUCUCUAGGCAACUCAUUUCAGGUUGAUACUGUUGCCUAUCACUUGUCUGUACUUAAGCCAUUGUACCCAAAAGGCAUAAACGUCUUGUCACUCUUCACUGGCAUAGGCGGUGGAGAAGUAGCACUUCACCGUCUUCAAAUACCAAUGAAGCUAGUUGUGUCUGUUGAGAUAUCAGAAGUCAACAGGAACAUAUUCCGGAGUUUUUGGGAGCAGACAAAUCAAAGGGGUGAUCUGAUAGAGUUUAGAGAUGUUGAAGAGCUUGACGACCAUAAGAUAGAGGGACUUAUGGACCAGUACGGAGGGUUUGACCUUGUUAUAGGCGGUAGCCCCUGUAACAAUCUAGCUGGAGCUAAUAGGGUUAGUAGGACUGGACUUGAAGGAGACCAGUCAUCACUGUUCUAUGACUACUGCCGGAUUCUAGAGGCUGUUCGCAGCAAAGCCUCAAGAAUGAGGAGGUAGAAUAUCUCUUGUGUAGUGUAGAUCACUUUUUUUUUUGCAUGAGUUGCGUUCAAACUUGUAUGUUGCAUGCAGCUUUUUUUUUGUGCCUCUCUAAGAUAUCAAGAAUACUUUAUUUUUAACCAUACUAAACUUUAAGGUUUUUCUUUCACUUGCUAGAGCUCCUUUCACGCCAUAAAGUUGGCCAUCUCUAUUGUUGUUGAUUUGUCUUUUAUUAACAAUAUGAAGUUAAAGAUUUACAAUAACCGAUCAAAGUAGAUUCCUGUUGUAUCUGUUAUAUCUGUAUGUGUCUUUUCACUACAAAAAAAACACGCCACAUUCCGACGGACACCAUUGUGAAAAAUAUGUUCUCAUUGGUGAAAAGCAGAAGGGAUCGCUACAAGUCUCUAGGCAACUCAUUUCAGGUUGAUACUGUUGCCUAUCACUUGUAUGUACUUAGACCUUUGUACCCAAAAGGCAUAAACCUCUUGUCGAUCACUCUUCACAGGGAUAGGCGGUGGAGAAGUGACACUUCACCGCCUCCAGAUUCCUAUGAAGCUAGUUGUAUCCGUUGAGAUUUCUGAAGUGAACAAGAACAUAUUCAGGAGUUUUUGGGAGCAGACAAAUCAAAGGGGCGUUCUGAUCGAGUUUACAGAUGUUGACGAACUAGACGAUCAAAAGAUAGAGAGACUUAUGGACCAGUAUGGUGGGUUUGACCUUGUUAUAGGCGGUAGCCCCUGUAACAAUCUAGCUGGAGCUAAUGGGUUAGUAGGAGCGGACUUGAAGGAGACCAGUCAUCACUGUUCUAUGACUACUGCCGGAUUCUAGAGGCGGUUCGCCGCAAAACCACAAGAAUGAGAAGGUAGAGUGUCUCUUGUGUAGAUGACUUUUUUUUUUUUGCAUGAGACUUGUAUGUUGCAGCUUCAAACCAUACUAAACCAGUAUGUUGAUUUGUCUUUUAUUAACAACCUUUGAUUAGACACGAAGUUGAAGAUUUUCAUUAAAAGAUAAAAUUAGAUUCAUUGUGAGUUAUGACAAAAGCGAUGACGUCUUUUACUCAAACAAAACAAG